AGAGUUUGAACCUGGCUCAGGAUGAACGCUGGCGGCGUGCUUAACACAUGCAAGUCGAACGAUCCUUCGGGAUAGUGGCGGAUGGGUGAGUAACGCGUGGGAAUCUGCCCUCAGGAGGGGGAUAACGGUUGGAAACGGCCGCUAAUACCCCAUAUGCCGAGAGGUGAAAUGAAUUUCGCCUGAGGAUGAGCCCGCGUCUGAUUAGCUAGUUGGUGGGGUAAAGGCCUACCAAGGCGACGAUCAGUAGCUGGUCUGAGAGGAUGAUCAGCCACACUGGGACUGAGACACGGCCCAGACUCCUACGGGAGGCAGCAGUGGGGAAUUUUCCGCAAUGGGCGAAAGCCUGACGGAGCAACGCCGCGUGAGGGAUGAAGGCCUCUGGGCUGUAAACCUCUUUUCUCAAGGAAGAAGAACUGACGGUACUUGAGGAAUAAGCCACGGCUAAUUCCGUGCCAGCAGCCGCGGUAAUACGGGAGUGGCAAGCGUUAUCCGGAAUUAUUGGGCGUAAAGCGUCCGCAGGCGGCCUUGUAAGUCUGUUGUUAAAGCGUGGAGCUCAACUCCAUUUAAGCAAUGGAAACUACAAGGCUGGAGUGUGGUAGGGGCAGAGGGAAUUCCCGGUGUAGCGGUGAAAUGCGUAGAUAUCGGGAAGAACACCAGUGGCGAAGGCGCUCUGCUGGGCCAUAACUGACGCUCAUGGACGAAAGCCAGGGGAGCGAAAGGGAUUAGAUACCCCUGUAGUCCUGGCCGUAAACGAUGAACACUAGGUGUCGGGGGAAUCGACCCCCUCGGUGUCGUAGCCAACGCGUUAAGUGUUCCGCCUGGGGAGUACGCACGCAAGUGUGAAACUCAAAGGAAUUGACGGGGGCCCGCACAAGCGGUGGAGUAUGUGGUUUAAUUCGAUGCAACGCGAAGAACCUUACCAGGGUUUGACAUCCUGCGAAUCCCUUGGAAACGAGGGAGUGCCUUCGGGAGCGCAGUGACAGGUGGUGCAUGGCUGUCGUCAGCUCGUGUCGUGAGAUGUUGGGUUAAGUCCCGCAACGAGCGCAACCCACGUCUUUAGUUGCCAGCAUUCAGUUGGGCACUCUAGAGAGACCGCCGGUGAUAAACCGGAGGAAGGUGUGGAUGACGUCAAGUCAUCAUGCCCCUUACAUCCUGGGCUACACACGUACUACAAUGCUACGGACAAAGGGCAGCAAGCUCGCGAGAGUUAGCAAAUCCCAUAAACCGUGGCUCAGUUCAGAUCGUAGGCUGCAACUCGCCUACGUGAAGGAGGAAUCGCUAGUAAUCGCAGGUCAGCAUACUGCGGUGAAUACGUUCCCGGGCCUUGUACACACCGCCCGUCACACCAUGGAAGUUGGCCAUGCCCGAAGUCGUUACUCCAACCCUUGUGGAGGAGGACGCCGAAGGUGGGGCUGAUGACUGGGGUGAAGUCGUAACAAGGUA
rnacentral:rRNA from 1 species